rnacentral:tRNA from 1 species
AAGUCUUAAGUUAAAGAAUAUAAACUAAUAGCCUUCAAAGUUAAAAAUAUGCCCUUUUAGGCUUUGA